AGCCCCCUCAUAAUGCACUGAAUCCCCAGCAAAGCCCUGUGUGAGCCGUCCAUCACGUGACUACACCCCCGUCUAAACACACACACGUGUGUGUGUGUGUGUGUGUGUGUGUGUGUGUGUGUGUGUGCCACUUCUGCUGGCAGACACAGCUAACGUUAAUCUCUCGCUGAAGGUCGACGGACACAAUGAACGUCGGGGGGAGUCGAGGCUUGCAGGUUCUCAAAUGUCAGGUGGAAAGUUGGCUGCCCUCCAUGUUGAAGAUGUUUGUGGGGAGGCGCAGCCGACGGGCUGAGAUGGCGGCAAGGAGGCAGAGAGUGCGGAUGAGCGGAGAGGCGGGAGCGACUCCGCCGCAAUCAAAUUCAGGUGCGUAGAUUGCGCACUAGCACACAAUUGACAUUUCUCCUCUGGCUGUAUAAAAGGGGAGAAGGAGGAGGGAUCAUGGCAGAAGAAGUAGGAGAACCAGCAGCAGAACCUGACGAGCGAAAAUGACCGAGAGCGACAGCGACGAAGACGCGGCCGACUGAAAGCGAGCGAGCGAGCAGUGCAUGUAGAAUGGAGAGGUGGUACUCACAGGGAAGAGCACGAUGGGAACAGUCAGGGUGACGGCGGUGAGAACCGCCAAGCGCACCAUCAGCAGUAGCGUGUCAAACUUGUACACCUUGGUGAAGGUGUGCAGAAGCUCGGCCUCCACGUUGUCUGUCAGUGACAAGAGGAAACAGGCGCUUGUCAAAGGACGACGACAAACACGACACAGUCACACGGUAACUCUGAAAACAGUUCAAACUUUUCUCCACUGAGGGUCAAACGCUGGAAAAUCAAAGCAUGCGACUGCCGUUUUGACUUUUUCAAUUUUCAAAACCAUCCAUCUAUCCAUCUUCGUCCGCUUAACCGAGGUCGGGUUGCGGGGGCAGCAGCCUAAGCAGGGAAGCCCAGACUUCCCUCUCCCCAGCCACUUUGUCCAGCUCUUUCUGGGGAAUCCCGAAGCGUUCCCAGGCCAGCCGGGAGACAUAGUCUUCCCAACGUGUCCUGGGUCUUCCCCGUGGCCUCCUACCGGUUGGACGUGCCCGAAACACCUCCCUAGGGAGGCGUUCGGGUGGCAUCCUGACCAGAUGCCCGAACCACCUCAUCCGGCUCCUCUCCAUGUGAGCAGCGGCUUUAAUUUGUGCUCCCCCGGAUGGCAGAGCUUCUCACCCUAUCUCUAAGGGAGAAACCCGCCACCUGGCGGAGGAAACAGAUUUCAGCCGCUUGUACCCGUGAUCUUGUCCUUUCGGUCAUAACCCAAAGCUCAUGACCAUAGGUGAGGAUGGGAAUGUAGAUCGACCGGUAAAUUGAGAGCUUUGCCUUCCGGCUCAGCUCCUUCUUCACCGCAACGGAUCGAUACAUAUUUUCCAAACCAGUAUAACAUGUAGAUGUUUUUAACUCCAUAGGCUCCCUUCAUA